GACGUAGGGGGCCAGCGUUGCUCGGAAUUACUGGGUGUAAAGGGCGCGUAGGCGGCGUGACAAGUCACUUGUGAAAUCUCUGGGCUUAACCCAGAACGGCCAAGUGAAACUGUUGUGCUAGAGUGCAGAAGGGGCAAUCGGAAUUCUCGGUGUAGCGGUGAAAUGCGUAGAUAUCGAGAGGAACACCAGAGGUGAAGACGGGUUGCUGGGCUGACACUGACGCUGAGGCGCGAAAGCCAGGGGAGCAAACGGG
rnacentral:rRNA from 1 species